ACCCCACUCGCUCAGUGGCCCACUUCCCAAAACAAAACGCCCACAGUUAGGCAAACUCUUUCCCGUCCAGGCCUUCAGACCGGCUGCGGCCGUGGUAGCGCGGCCGGGGCCCAAAUCCAGAGUUGAAAUCCAAAGUGUUAGGCCCCAUGCAAGGACGAGGGGGAAGGAACGGGAAGGCGGUCACCCAGAUCCACGCCCGCUUCCUGGGCGGCGUUGAGCAAGAGGCCCGGCCGGCCCCGCAGAGCCGCACGGCCGGCCCCACGCGGCCUCCAGCACCGGGGCGCUCCGGGCUUCCGCUCGCUCGGCAAGCAUUUUCCGCAAGAGCUAUUCGGUUAUUUUAUUUCAACUUCUUUUACUUGCAUGUAUUUUAAUUGAUCUCAUUCUAAAUUCACACAGCGAUCCGAAUGAUACUUGAAAAUGGUGGGAAAGGAGUCCUGAGAACGAGAGAGCCCGAGCGGUGCGAGUUUACCCAGCUGGUGUGGCCGCAUCCCGGCCGCUCCGGGCCGGCCGCGCCGCCCGCCGCCGCGCCGCCGGCUUCCUCCGCACCUUGCUACCCUGCGGUCCGCGCUGCCGGCAGCCUGAAAUCUUCUCCGGGGUACAGAGAAAGAGAAAAAAGAGAAAAAACAUUUUGGGGGGAAUGUUAUUUCGUUUCCUGCAUUUGGGCGCUGGUAGUUCAAUUCAAAAUAUGGGAGUAUUUCAGGGAGCCUGGGAAACACCGGGUGAAUAUUGUUGGUUGGUGGUGGUGGGUUUUAUUUUUUUUUCUUCCUCCCAAACACUCCUUGAUUGAGGAACAUAAACCUGGAAGCCGGCGCCUAUGCAUCUAGACCUGUGGAGCUGACUCUUAGAAUUUAUUCGAUGAUAAACCUCGGAUUAUUUAAAUGUAAAGAAUAGGUAUCCAGACUGAGAGGGGGGAAUGCAGGUUGGAAUGGAAAUGCAUUUUAGGAGGAUCUCUUUAAUUUGAAUUUGUAAGUGAGAAUCCCCUGAACCUGCAGUGUCCCCCAUUAAUGACCGCAGAACCCCCUGGAGAGGACACAGAGCUGUCGCUGGGAACCUGGGUGUGUGGGCAUUUGGGAGGGAGAGGCAGGGGUCUGGCUUCACCCUCUUCUAAUUUCUGGGGUGCAGAGGCGAGAAUCUGGUUGCUAGACCCUCCACCUUGGCCUCUAUCAGGGCUGCCUUUCUUCUGCUGGGGCAAAAACUAGGCCCUAGGGGAUCUAGGGCCCCCACACCCGCAAUGCUACAAGCGUCACAGGUGGGGGUCCUGCCAUCUAGAGGGCUGGGAAUGAGGGGGGCAUUCAGGAGGGGGGAGGGGGUAGUGAAGCUCUCAUUUUGCCCUGAUGCAAGUGGCAAUCCUGGAUACCCGCUGCUACUCCCGACUCACCCCAAAACUACCUCAGAAUGGCCCCUGUAUGGAGGAUUUGGGGUGAAUUCUUACUAGAAGAGGGGGCAGAGCUCCUGUGAGAAUAGGGAGGUUCUGGAAAGAAUCCCCUUCCCAGAUGGACCCUUGUGGCUCCUCCGCCUGAUUCCCUGCACCCCAAAUCUCCCCCCUUCUCAUUCUGGGGUUUCCCCAAAUAGCGAGAAGGAGAAGAAAAGAAGAUGGCGACUGAGAAAAGGGUUGCUGGUGGAGCAGCCAUGAAGAAAUGC
rnacentral:lncRNA from 1 species